AUAAAUAAAUAAACUUAAAAAAAAAAAAAAAAAAAAAGGUAGUUCUUUAUUUUCUUUUAUAGUUUUAUCUCCCAAGCGUGGCUCUCUGGGCACUAAAGUUUAGUUUUGCCUCUGUAUGUCUUUUAUGUCUAAUUACAGUCUUUAGAUUUCCUCCUCAUCAUCCCUUUAUUUUCGUAACACUUUAUUUAUUGGCAAAUCCAAGUCAUUUGGCCUAGAGAUUUCCCCACAGUCUGGAUGGUAUCGAUUGCACAGUGCCGUUAAAGAUGUGCCUCUGUCCUCCGUGUUUCCUACGCAGUGGUAGCUGGAUCCAGAGGUCUGGUCAGACUUGGGGCUGAUUCAGUUGGGCAGGUUUACAGAUGGUGUAAUGCUUCCACCAGUUACAUAUUACAUCUGGUUUUUGUUCAUUUUUUAUUCUGUUACCUAUAUCUGGUAGUUCCCCGGGAGCUGCAAAAUCGUGAGAUUCUGAUUUUAUCAUUUUGUUUUCAUUUGUUAGCUAGAACAUAAUUGUAUAUGGCAGUGCUUCCUGGCGUCUAUUCGGUUGCCCAGUUGUGCGGUUUAUAUCAGAAAGGCAAGAUAAGGGCUUGAUAUUUUUCUUUACCCAAUUUUCAAAUAGUGCAUUAGGUACCCUUAAGCCUUUUUUUUUUUUUUUUUAAUGUUUAUUUAUCUUUUGAGAGAGAGAGAGAGAGAGAGUGGUGGAGGAGCAGAGAGAGGGGGGCACAGAGGAUCCCAAGCGAGCUCUGCACUGACAGCAGCGAGCCUGAUGUGGGGCUCAAAGUCACAAACCACGAGAUGAUGACCCCACCUGAAGCUAGAUGCCCAACCACUGAGCCGCCCAGGCGCCCACCUUCAACCUGUUUUGGCCGGUUUCAGGUCAUUGCAGUUCCUGAUCCUUACUGAGGCCCCAUUCCUCCACCCUGGCUACUGGGAGCCUCCUGCAGUGGCUUCUGAGUGCCUGUGGUACGACCCCCCUGGCCUGCUCGUGUCCUGGUGUCUGUGUGUCUAGGUGCUCUGUCCUUGUCUCGUACGGUUUCCACAGCAGAUCCGGGAUCAGCAUUUCUUCUAGAACCCAAGGAGUUUCUUUUCAUGAGAAGUGAUUUUUAAGAGCAUAGUCUGGGCCAUUUAGGUCUCAUUGUUACCAGGUUGGUCAUUAUUUCUGGAUAUUUUGAUUUAUGUAUUUGAAAAUUUCUAAAACUUCAGUGGACAGACUGGGAAAUAUCCAUUAUGUCUCAUAAAUCAUACAAUAUUUUAAACUCCGAUUCAGGAUAAUAGAGUUUUUAUUUAGCCUCAUCUUUAUUCCAUCUGUAUCUGCUUUCUUUCAUACAGAGGUGCCCGAUUCUCAGGGACACAGAAUCUCCCACAAUUGUUUUAUCUCACCUUACCCCUUCAGUAGUCUCAGAGUGACAGUAUUUUUUUUUUUUUUUAAUGUUUAUUUUUAUUUUUGAGACAGAGAGCGCAAGCCUGGGAGGGGCAGAGAGAGAGGGAGACACAGAAUCUGAAGCCGGCACCAGGCUCUAAGCUGUCAGCACAGAGCCUGACGCUGGGCUCGAGCUCAUGAACCGUGAGAUCAUGACCUGAGCUGAAGUCAGACACUUAAUUGACUGAGCCACCCAGGCGCCCCUCAGAGUGACAAUACGUAUUAAUACUGCCACCACCAGUUAUGGUAACUGAAAGAGUUUUUAAAAAAAACUUUGCACUCUCCUUAUGAGAUUUGGAUUCUGUUGUUUCAUUUUCAUUUCUUAGCCACAAUAAUUUUAUAUGUUCUUUCCCUAUGUUUUUAUUAAAUAAUUGUUUUCAUGUUUAUUUACUUUUGAGACAGAGAGAGUGCGUGCGCUCGCAUGUGCAGAGUGGGGGGAGGGGCAGAGAGGAGAGCACAGAGGAUCCUAAGUGGGCUCUGUGCUGUCAGUGGAGAGCCUGAUGAGGGGCUCGAACUCAUGAACCAUGAGGUCAUGACCUGAGCUGAAGUUGGACGCUCUACCAGCUGAGCUCCACCCCCGUCCCCACCCCGCCCCAUCCCCGACCAUGUUUUAAAUGAUGGUACUUUGUCUACAUUUUCCAAGUGUGUGUAUAUAUUUAAUCUUCACCAUUAGUCCUGCUCUAGAUGUCUCUCUAGUCAUGUUAGUUUUCUGAGUUUGUUUUCUAGUAGAGUCCUUAGAAAGGGCUUAUAGGAACACUAUUUCCUGACCUCUUCAGUGCUUCGAACAGGUUGAUUGUACUCUUACACGUGAAGGUCAGAUUUGCUGGCUCAUGUUUCUUUUUUUAAAUUGGGGUGUAGUUGGCACACACCAUUAGUUUCAGGUAUCAACACGAUACAGUAUUUGUAUGUGGUGCAGAAUCAUCAGCGCAGUAAAUCUGUACCCAUCACCACACACAGUUACGGAAUCUGUUUUUCUCGUGAUGAGAACUUACUCUUUUAGCAGCUUCCAGAUUUUCACCAUGCUAUGGUUAACUAUAGCUGCCACAUCAUGUUUUUGCCUCUUGAGUUCCUUAAAUAUCAUUGCUGUCAAAGUAUUGAUAAUCUAAUUGUCUUUCUCAUCACUCACAUACCCUUUUUGCCUAGAUGACGGAAGAAUUUUUUGUUUCAUUUAAAAUCCAGUAAUUUCAGUGUACAAUAUAUCUUCAUGUUGGUUUUCUGGACCAGUGUGCUCUUGAAGUAAGAAGUUUCAAAUCUUUUAAUUCAGGAGAAUGUUUUUUGGAUUAUAGUUUUUAGUAUUUGUUCUUAUACUGAAAUUCGGUUUUCUUUUUCAGAAGCUCCUGUAUCUGUAUGCUCGUUGUUCCUUGCCUGUCUUUAGUAUUUGUUACUUUCUCCCGAAUCCAUUUUGGAGUUUUUCUUUCUUUUUCUUUUUCUUUUUUUCUUUUUUUUACUUCUAAAAGUCUUCUUUUCACAUAUCCUAAGGCAUUGGUGGCUAUGUCUGUUCACUCUUGUUUCCCUUUUGUCUUAGCCUUCAUUUUUUACAUAACGUGUCUAACAUUUUGUUUCUGUAUUUUCCUGGUUCUGAUUGAAGUUGCCUCAUAAUAUCUUGAUUAUUUUUUAAAUCUUUAUUGAUUUAUUUUGUGAGAGAGAGAGGGAGAGGGCACACGCUAGUGCAAGUGGGGAAGGGGCAGAGAGCGAGGGAGAGACAGAAUCCCAGCAGGCUCUGUGCUGUCAGCUCACGAACCAUGAGAUCAAGACCUGAGACGAAAUCAAGAGUUGGACACUUAACUGACUGAGCCACCCAGGUGCCCCUCUUGUUUACUGGUACCUUUUAUCUUGCUUUGAAACCGCACGUUACGCUUUUGGUGGGUGUAUUGUGCCGUGCACGUGUGUACAUUUUUUCCUGUGCUUUCAUUGACUGUGGGGAUGCUAUUCAGCUCCGUCUUUUUUUCUUAUUAGUAACAUUGUAUGAAGUUAAGCCUCAGUACUUUUCCUUUGUUUAUUUUUAUGAAGAGUUAAUUGUCACGAGUUUUCCGAAGGAGGUGAGGCUCGAUGGAAUUUCUUUCAACUUCACAGAACUGCCUCUUCUGUUGUCCCAAAGUGGUAAUAUAUGGCGACUUGCAUUCUGUGAUUUUUCUGACUUUUGUUCCAUUUCACUUUCGUUUAGCUCUUCUUUUCCCUUUGCUCUCUUGCUUCUGUUCUGCUCAAUUUGUGAUUGUUCCAUUCCCUGUAGCUUCUCCUCUGUUAUGGCUCCUUGUCUUGGAAGGGAGCUAUGGUGAGUUUUUCUGAGUUCGUAAGUGGUUAGCCUUCUUCGCCUUCUCUGGCCUCUUUGUACUAACUUGCUUCCCAUGUAGUCAGAACCCUUGUGGCCUCCAGUGCUGUUACCACAUUGGUCUACCUUAUUGCCUUUUAGCUGUUUCGAAAUCUUCCUAAUGUUAGGUAUGCCAGAUACCCCGUUCCUUCUGGGUUUCUUUCUCUCUCACAGAUGCUGAUCACCACGGGUCUUAGGGCUGUUGGUGGUUUAUGCCCCCUGGUUUGUGAAGAUACCUUGUUUCCUCAUUUUGUUGUGUUAUCACUGGGAGUUUGAUUUGACUCUCUAGUUGAUCUGAUUCUACGUGGGGAUCUAGGAAGAUUUAUAAACGAUGCUGCCAUUCUCCCAGAAUUCCUGGUGUGUUAGUUACUGAAAUGAUUUUCUGCUAAGCCCCAGGACCACAAACUCAUGAAUUCUUAAAUUGUGCCCUGCUGUUUGUCAUGACUACCACUGUUCUUGUGUAAACCUUGAGGGGGGGAUAGGUACAUAAGAUAAGACCCUAUAAAACUGGUUCAGCACAUGUCAGAGGCACAGAUACUCAGUUUUCUUCUGAAAAAUAUUUUAGGCCAGUUUCAGACAUACAGGAGGCAUUCCUCGUCCUGCUUUUCUAAAUAGGUAACCAAGUUGGCCUGUAAAGUCUCAACUAUCACGGUCGAUGGUGAGAAUAUGCUGUCUCCAAACCUUCCUCCCCCAUAGUAUAUGUUUCAGAGCUUCAAGUUUUCCCUAUUGGUGUGUCCCUUACACAAUAACCCUGAAACAUGUUAAUGUUCAGCCAAGGGAACAACCAUUGGUUGUGGAGUUGGAGAUUUGUGGAAAUGUUUUGUUUUGUAUGAUUACUUCUGAUAUAUAUAUUUAUCUGAUGUAAUGUAUCAGCAAAUUAUUAUAGCUGAAAUUUUAUGUUUUGCAGACAUAAACAUUAGCCAUUACAAAUGUCGCAACAGGUUGGUGUAUAUGCACACAUAAUAAAUAAGUAUACUUAUGAACUAUAAUUGCAUAAUUCAAAUGGGAAAAGUCUCAAAAUGUGUAACCAUUAGGUCAAUAUUACUAUUUUAUGUAAAAAUAAAGUAUGCUAAUAAGAGGAAAUGAUAACUUUCCAGUACAUUUCUUAAAUGCAAAUUUAAAUGAAUCCACAUAGAUACUGUCAAGCUAUUAUCAGUAGAAGUAAGGUCUUUUCAACAGCUAGGCUGGAACAGCUGGAUGUUCAUAUGGCAGAAAUAAAAGCGCACAACCUACCUUACGCCUUACCCAAGAAUUAGAGAUGGAUCAUUGACCCAGAUGUAAGGUAAAAAUUAUAAAGCUUCAAAAAGAAAAUAGGAGAGUGUCUUUAUAGUCUUUUUUUUUUUUUUUUUUAAUUCUUAACGUUUAUUUUUUAUUGAGAGA